rnacentral:lncRNA from 1 species
CGGCGGAGGCCACUGCUUCCCUCGAAGGAAAUAGGAGCUUAAGAAUAGAGGAGGCAUAAGUUGGUUUUAUAAAUGAAAGAGAAUUAAUUGCAAUAAAUUAAAGCUAAUCCUGUCACAAACUGAAAAGUUGAACCUACAGUAAUCAGAAUUCUGUAACAGUGCACCAGAAGGGACUCUAGAUCGUCGCCCUGAUUGAAAAUGCUAGCACUUUUUUGAAAACACCCCCACCAGCGGGUGGUCCAGUGGAUGAAUAAAAUCUUGUGGUGACCAGUACCU